rnacentral:rRNA from 1 species
GUGGAGGGAUCCACAGUAUUGUGUAAAAUGGGGUUCCCAGUUCAUUUACUUUGAGUAAAUUAGAGUGUUCAAAGCAGCCUCUUGGGGCAUUGAAUAUAUUAGCAUGGGAUAAUAGAAUAGGACUCUUGUUCAUUUAUUGGUUUAUGAAUUUAGAGUAAUGAUUAAUAGGGAUAGUUGGGGGCACUUGUACUCAAUAGUCAGAGGUGAAAUUCUAGGAUUUAUUGAAGACAAACUUCAGCGAAAGCAUUUGCCAAGGAUGUUUUCAUUAAUCAAGAACGAAAGUUAGGGGAUCGAAGACGAUUAGACACCGUCGUAGUCUUAACUAUAAACUAUGCCGACCAGGGAUAUGAGGAUUCUUAUUUAUGCUAUUAAGUUAGCAUAAUUCCUUGUGCACCUUGUGAGAAAUCAUAAGUGUUUGGGUUCUGGGGGGAGUAUGGUCGCAAGGCUGAAACUUAAAGGAA